rnacentral:rRNA from 1 species
CCUACGGGGGGCAGCAGUGGGGAAUAUUGCACAAUGGGCGCAAGCCUGAUGCAGCCAUGCCGCGUGUGUGAAGAAGGCCUUCGGGUUGUAAAGCACUUUCAGCGGGGAGGAAGGCGGUGAGGUUAAUAACCUCAUCGAUUGACGUUACCCGCAGAAGAAGCACCGGCUAACUCCGUGCCAGCAGCCGCGGUAAUACGGAGGGUGCAAGCGUUAAUCGGAAUUACUGGGCGUAAAGCGCACGCAGGCGGUCUGUCAAGUCGGAUGUGAAAUCCCCGGGCUCAACCUGGGAACUGCAUUCGAAACUGGCAGGCUAGAGUCUUGUAGAGGGGUGUAGAAUUCCAGGUGUAGCGGUGAAAUGCGUAGAGAUCUGGAGGAAUACCGGUGGCGAAGGCGGCCCCCUGGACAAAGACUGACGCUCAGGUGCGAAAGCGUGGGGAGCAAACAGGAUUAGAUACCCUUGUAGCC